rnacentral:rRNA from 1 species
UCGCGAAAACUUUGCAAUACACGAAAGUGUGACAGGGCUAUCCCGAGUGCCAUCCGCUGAGGAAGGCUUUUACCCAGUCUUAGAAAGCUGGGGGAAUAAGGAGAGGGCAAGUCUGGUGUCAGCCGCCGCGGUAAUACCAGCUCUCCGAGUGGUGUGGAUGUUUAUUGGGCCUAAAGCAUCCGUAGCUGGCUAAGUUAGUCCCUUGUUAAAUCCACCGAAUUAAUCGUUGGAUUGCGGGGGAUACUGCUUAGCUAGGGGACGAGAGAGGCAGACGGUAUUUCCGGGGUAGGGGUGAAAUCCUAUAAUCCCGGGAAGACCACCAGUGGCGAAGGCUGUCUGCUAGAACGCGCCCGACGGUGAGGGAUGAAAGCUGGGGGAGCGAACCGGAUUAGAUACCCGGGUAGUCCCAGCUGUAAACGAUGCAAACUAGGUGUUUGAACGGCCACGUGCCGUUCUAGUGCCGCAGGGAAGCUGUUAAGUUGCCGCCUGGGGAGUACGAUCGCAAGAUUAGAAACGUUAAAGGAAGUUGGGCGGGGGAGCGACCAAC